rnacentral:rRNA from 1 species
CGCGAAAACUUUGCCUUCACGAAAGUGUGACAGGGUUAUCCCGAGUGCCAUCCGCUGAGGAUGGCUUUUACCCAGUCUAGAACGCUGGGGGAAUAAGGAGAGGGCAAGUCUGGUGUCAGCCACCGCGGUAAUACCAGCUCUCCGAGUGGUGUGGAUGUUUAUUGGGCCUAAAGCAUCCGUAGCUGGCUGAAUUAGUCCCUUGUUAAAUCCACCGAUUUAAUCGUUGGAUUGCGGGGGAUACUGCUCGGCUAGGGGACGAGAGAGGCAGACGGUAUUCCCGGGGUAGGGGUGAAAUCCUAUAAUCCCGAGAAGACCACCAGUGGCGAAGGCUGUCUGCUAGAACGCGCCCGACGGUGAGGGAUGAAAGCUGGGGGAGCGAACCGGAUUAGAUACCCGGGUAGUCCCAGCUGUAAACGAUGCAGACUAGGUGUUUGGACGGCCACGUGCCGUUCUAGUGCCGCAGGGAAGCUGUUAAGUCUGCCGCCUGGGGAGUACGAUCGCAAGAUUGAAACUUAAAGGAAUUGGCGGGGGAGCAC